GAAGAGGCUUAAGACUUGAGCUUUCAAUGCAUAGAGUCUAAAAUCAAGUCAGUUUCUAAGCACAACCUCUGUCACAGUACUCCAGCUGAACAAUAGCAACCUUUAGGUAGGGUACUUUAAUCGGCAUGUUAAUGUUGAUGUGCCGAAGGACCAUUCCUGAAUUAAAAGACAACUCUUUACGUCCAAACACAGGGGAAAUGUGCUGGUGUUUUCAUUCCAAUCCAUACAUCCAUCCCAAAGAAGAAACAUUUACAAGACUAAAGCUUUUAGAAACCAAUCCAGACAAGCAGAUUCACUAACAGUUGGUAAUAAUGGGUUUGGAAUUUCUGUUUUUCUAGGUUUUUUUUAGGAUUUGAAAUUUUAGAGAUAUUCGAUUAAAAAAAUGAAAUAUUAUGUACUACAAAUAUAUUAGAUAUUAACUUACAACUCCUCAUAAUUGGAGCCCUCUGUUUCAGGUUCCCAGUCAUGGUCAUCCACAUCACAUUUCUAAAAACCAAUCCUUGUCCAGGCAAGUUGUCAGGAUUGUGGGUAUAUAUUCAGGGCAGAAGACGAAUUUCUUCUUUUAAGGCUUGUGAAACAGUUGCGACAAAAGUCACAAUUGAGAGUUUUUUCUCCUUUUGCAGCCAUUUUAAUCUUAUUACGUAUACAUCUUGCCUUCCAAUAGGUAGGCAAAUUUACCUAGGUUACUUUUGAAACUUUUUAUCUACAUCUUUUAAAGCACAACAAGGUAAGGUUCACAUUUUAACUUCUAAUGAAUGUUUUUAUCAUAUAUACAUCACUUUGUUUUCUUUUACAAACUCUCCCUAGUUAACCACUUGCCAUGUGAUUGUUCCUAAAUAUUUCAGAGAAAAAUGAGACAUAAAAGGGUUUGUCCAGAAACAGAAGCUUUGCAUUUCACUUCUUCUGGAAGGGAUAAAGACACAUUUUACAAAAGAUUCAUCAACAAGGAGAAAGAAAUGACUGACACUCACCUGAGUCACAUUCCAGAGGAAUUAUGCAUUGGUGAAAUGAUCCAGUCAGAGCAGAAAAAUGUUCCAGGAGAACAAACAGAACAACACCAUGAAGUAAAAAACCAAGGACAAGAUACACAUACAG